GCACUCACUUCGGCAGCGCAUAUAUAAAAGCUGGAAGGAUACAGAGAUUAGCAUGGCCCCCACAUAAGGAUGAUACACAAUUUGUAAAGCAUUCCAUAUUUUU
ensembl:snRNA U6 U6 spliceosomal RNA